CUUCACGGCACCCAGCAGGAGGGGGCGGCCCUCGGGCCGGUCCUGUCCGUAGGUGGCGAGGAGGGCCUGGGCCUC
rfam:Streptomyces albireticuli strain MDJK11, complete genome.